rnacentral:sRNA from 1 species
CUAUCCAUGGGAAGAUCUACUAUCCCUAUAUAUCACGAGUAAUAAUCGUAAUGUAUAUAGGGAUAGUAGAUCUUCCCAUGGAUAG